ensembl:lncRNA
GCGUGCUAAAAACGCUGGGCAAAGAGCACACAGAGAGCAAGCUCAUCAUCAGUAUCCAACAACAGCUCUGCGCUCUGCUGGACUGGCUGUUUUCCCUCAAUGUGAGCCGGGUGAGACAUCAACAUCAGGCUACCGGGGAAAUAAACACGGCAACUCGAAACUGUUGAAGCCAUCAUAUUCAGUAGUUCAUCCAGAACACCUGUGCAGUUCAACAUCGGAGGAGUUUCUCAUUGCCUCGUCUCUCCAAGAAACGUUGGUAAGUUUUAUUUGCCUAGCAUGAUUAACAUUCUCCUUCCUUACAUCUUGUUGUCUUCCUCAUCUUUGUAAUUUUAAUAUUUUACCAAUGACAGUGUUUCUAAAUAUUUUAUUUUGGUUUGUUUUACAGAGGCACUGGAUUAAAGACGCCAGCCGUUUGCUGCGGUCAAUUGAAAGUGUUCCAUAGCGUAUUUUUUGCAGUUAGUUUACCUUUACCUUAAUUCUAUGAUUCAUUUUUUUAUUAUUGUAUACAUGCUGCAUAUUUUAUUUUUAUUUUUGUUCUUGGUUACAAUUUUUGUCUUUAAAGGCAUCUAAUAAACUCGAACAACUAUGACCGAAAUGAUUUUGUUUGUCUUUUUUUAAUUUGUGGGGAAUUAAAUGCAAAAGUAUACGGUUAUAAGUAUACGGUUAUAAGUAAACGGUAACAUUCUGGUAUUUAUAACACAAAAACAUUAAUCGUAUGGUAACAAACUGUAAUCCAAUAUACGACAACAUACCGUAAAUUACGGUAGGGCACUGUAAAUAAAACAGUAAGUUACUAGCGUCGACUGCCAGUAAAUUACAGUUAAUUCACAG